CUAUAAUGCUCUGGUCGAGCUACUGCACAUUAUAUCAGAAUUCAGAGAAAGAUUUGACGGAUCUGGGAGAGUGUCGAUAUGAUCAAGGUGGGUAUUUCAUUAACAAUGGGAGCGAAAAGGUUCUAAUUGCUUAGGAGAAGAUGAGCACCAAUCACAUCUGUGUUUAAGAAGAGGAAGCCAAACAAGUAUGCCUAUGUGGCAGAAGUCCGAUCAAUGGUGGACUCCCAGAACAGGCCACCCAGUAGCAUUUUUGUGUGGAUGCUUUCACGGACUAGUGCCAAAGGGGGCUCCUACCCUUCCGUACAUUUGGACUGAGAUUCCUAUUAUUAUUGUGCUUCGGGCAUUAGGAUUUGUUGCUGACAAAGAUAUAUUUGAGCAUAUUUGCUAUGAUUUCUCUAACACUCUUGGAGUUGCUACGACCCUCCUUGGAAGAAGCAUUUGUAAUAUAAAAUCAACAGGUUGCACUGUACUACGUCGGGAAACGAGAGGCCACUGUUGGUGUCACAAAUGAAAAGAGGAUUAAAUAUGUGUUAUGAAUGCUGGCUGUUGCUAUACACGAGUGUAAAGCUGUCUUUUGUGCUUCUUUUUUUGUUUAAGGAGAGUCUCCUGUUCAUUUACUUCGUAGGUAUGCCAAAGAGAUCCUCCAAAAGGAAAUGCUUCCUCAUGUUGGUGUAGGAGAGUAUUGUGAGACAAAGAAAGCUUACUAUUUUGGAUAUAUUAUUCACCAGCUUCUGCUACGUGCAAUUGGACGAAGGGCGGAGGAUGAUAGGGAUCACUAUGGCAAUAAGAGACUCGAUCUUGCUGGUCCUUUGCUUGGUGGCCUCUUU